UAGCUCAGGUCUCUCUUCAUUUAUGCGUAAAUCUUUUGCCUUUUUCACACGAUUUCUGUGGAGAGGAAUGUUGAUGAGUUCAACUUAUUUUUGUGGGCUUUGCUGUAGUAAAGCU